AGCCUCUCAGGGUCGCACCUGGAGAGUUUCCAGUACUCUACCAGUCUUGACUACAAGAGGGAGAGUAAAGCAGAGGCUAGUCCAUUCUUUUCCUAGCUUGGGCAGUGGCUAGCGAGUGGAAGGCGAUCUGCUACAAUG